GACGGGGGGUCCUAGCGUUGUUCGGAAUUAUUGGGCGUAAAGCGUGUGCAGGUGGCUUGGAAAGUUGGGUGUGAAAUCCUUGGGCUUAACUCAAGAAGUGCAUUCAAAACUGUCAAGCUUGAAUAUGGAAGAGGGUCGCGGAAUUCCUGGUGUAGUGGUGAAAUACGUAGAUAUCAGGAGGAACACCGGCGGCGAAGGCGGCGACCUGGUCCAAUAUUGACACUCAUACACGAAAGCGUGGGGAUCAAACAGG
rnacentral:rRNA from 1 species